UACGAAGGGGGCUAGCGUUGCUCGGAAUCACUGGGCGUAAAGGGUGCGUAGGCGGGUCUUUAAGUCAGGGGGGAAAUCCUGGAGCUCAACUCCAGAACUGCCUUUGAUACUGAGGAUCUUGAGUACGGGAGAGGUGAGUGGAACUGCGAGUGUAGAGGUGAAAUUCGUAGAUAUUCGCAAGAACACCAGUGGCGAAGGCGGCUCACUGGCCCGUAACUGACGCUGAGGCGCGAAAGCUGGGGGAGCAAACGGG
rnacentral:rRNA from 1 species